rnacentral:rRNA from 1 species
GAUGAACGCUGGCGGCGCGCCUAACACAUGCAAGUCGAACGAUUAAAGCACCUUCGGGUGUGUAUAAAGUGGCGAACGGCUGAGUAACACGUGGGCAACCUGCCCCUUUCAUUGGGAUAGCCACGGGAAACCGUGGAUAAUACCGAAUACUUCGAGACUUCCGCAUGGAAGACUCGAGAAAGCUCCGGCGGCGAGGGAUGGGCCCGCGGCCUGUUAGCUUGUUGGUGGGGUAACGGCCUACCAAGGCAAUGAUGGGUAGCUGGGUUGAGAGACCGACCAGCCAGAUUGGGACUGAGACACGGCCCAGACUCCUACGGGAGGCAGCAGUGGGGAAUCUUGCACAAUGGGCGAAAGCCUGAUGCAGCGACGCCGCGUGCGGGAUGAAGGCCUUCGGGUUGUAAACCGCUUUCAGCAGGGACGAGGCGAAAGUGACGGUACCUGCAGAAGAAGCCCCGGCUAACUACGUG